AUUUUCAUUCUCGUUUCGCUCCCCCCUCCCCCGACCCGUCAACACCGCCCCCCAGCCACCAGCCGACGAGUUCCCCGCCUCCGGCUCCGCAACCCCCCCGAAAUCGAUUCCACCGGCGUCUGGUCCGCCGCGAAUGGGCCGCCGGAGCACCAUCGAUGGCGGCGGCGAGGACGGCUGAGGCGCCCCCGGUCGAUGGAUUGCCGAGCACCGCCUUCCUCGAGGAAAAAUGCUAGCAAGUGGUGCGGUUCAUCUGCGCGCUUCGGAUGGUAUUGAUUCCGAGCUACCCCAAUCGCUAUGUCGAGACAUUUGGUUUUCGACAAUAUAAAGAGGGUUGCUCGUCCCCUGCUUCCAUACCUUAAGACCAGUUAUUCAGGACAGAUUAAGCUCGCAACCUACUGUAAGGUUGGUCAUCGACCAUACUCCCACCGCUUUAGCUACCAUUAUAAACUUCCUUUGAGAGGAUAUUACCCUCAUACAGUCUAUAAAGCAAAAGGAGUAUUCUCUAGAAGUUGUUGCUUUACCAUUCCAAACCAUGCUCUUGUUGCUUGGAAGAGGCUCUCUCUGUUAUAUCGUAACAAUGGGCCUGCUUUGCCACUAAUCAGUAAAAUUGCUGGUGCUGUGAGCCUCGCUCUGACACGAUCAAACCUAAUUUCUCCUGGAGUCAUUGCCUUCAUAAUUGGGGAGCUUGUGUGGGCAGAGCGAGCAUGGGCAGAAGCAGAGCGCAUUCCACCAAGGAGUACUAUGUAUAUGAAUGCACAAGAUGGGCGUGUUUAUUUGACUUCAUUUCUGUUUUCAACCCUAGAAGUUUUUAUUAUAAUUCUCAGAGCUAUCUAUCUAGCCAUGUUGUUCUGGCCUUGCGCAUCCAUGGCGCCCUUGGCAGAUACUCUAGGUGUGCAGUUCAGGAGAAGAUGGAUUCAGUUAGUCCAUUCUACAUUAGAGAAGGCUGGCCCUGCAUUUAUAAAAUGGGGUCAGUGGGCUGCAACAAGACCAGAUCUUUUUGCAAGAGAUCUUUGUGAUGAGCUGGCAGAACUCCAUACAAAAGCACCAUCUCACAGUUUCCCCUACACAAAGAAAACAAUUGAAAAGGCAUUCGGCCGCAAGCUGUAUGAGAUUUUUGAAUCAUUUGAGGAAGAACCUCUAGCAUCUGGAAGUGUGGCACAAGUUCAUAAAGCAGUUCUAAAGUACAGAUACCCUGGCCAACAGAUGAAGCCAAUGGUGGUGGCUGUGAAGGUUCGGCAUCCUGGUGUUGGUGAGGCAAUAAGAAGGGACUUUGCGAUAAUUAAUUUUGUCGCUAAAGUGUCAAACUUCAUUCCUGCUUUGAAAUGGAUGAGAUUGGAUGAGAGCCUACAGCAAUUUGCUGCUUUCAUGAUGUCUCAAGUCGAUCUUGCCAGGGAAGCAGCUCAUUUGAGCCGGUUUAUCUACAACUUCCGCAAAUGGAAGGAUGUGUCGUUCCCCAAGCCUCUCUAUCCCCUUGUGCACCCUGCUGUUCUAGUGGAAACUUUUGAACCAGGUGAAGGUGUUCUUCACUAUGUUGAGAAGCUUGAAGGGCAUGAAGCAAUUAAAAGUGCCCUUGCUCAUAUAGGAACACAUGCUCUUCUAAAGAUGCUCUUGGUCGACAAUUUUGUCCAUGCGGACAUGCAUCCUGGGAACAUUCUAGUUCGAGUAACUGGUAAUAAGUUGUCACACAGGCAACCCUUCAGAUCAAGGCCUCAUGUCAUCUUCCUUGAUGUGGGAAUGACUGCUGAACUAUCCAAAAGAGACCAGAUAAAUUUGUUAGAAUUUUUUAAGGCUGUAGCCGUUCGAGAUGGUCGGAGUGCUGCCGAAUACACACUGAGAUUGUCCAGAAAGCAAAGUUGCCCUGAUCCAAGAGCUUUUAUAAAGGAUGUAGAAAAGUCUUUCACUUAUUGGGGCUCCCAGGAAGCUAAUGAUGUUCAUCCAGCUGAUUGCAUGCAUCAACUACUUGAGCAUGUCAGGCGUCAUAGAGUCAAUAUUGAUGGCAAUGUUUGUACCGUGAUGGUAACAACAUUGGUUCUGGAGGGAUGGCAGCGCAAAUUGGAUCCAGAAUAUGAUGUUAUGAACACCUUGCAAACAUUGUUAUUCAAAGCUGAUUGGGCAGAGUCUCUCUUUUACACCAUUGAAAGUCUCAUGGCUCCGUAGAAGGUCGCAAACUCCUCAUACAUUCUUCAGUGAAUAAAAGUAAAUGGCUGGUUUGAUAGUCUCCUUAACGAGUUCACUGUUUUUUUUGUCUAUUUUCUCCUAUUUUUCUUCUUUUCUCUACAGGAUUUUCUUUUUUUGGUAGGCCUUACUUUCAUUUAUCUACAGGAAAGGCUGAUACUAAUUUUUUCAUCGAAUGAGCGCACUUCCCAUUUCUUUUCAUUUCUUUCGUCGGGACUUUUCCUGUUGUAUUGCUAGAACACAUGCCUCUUGGUGUAAUAGCAUUUUUGAGGUUACAACUGUUUAGAAGCUGAACAAUGGUUGAAUUGUUUUGCCAGCGCAUCUCAUCGCACUAAUGAGUUAUCAACUUCCCAAUGGAAUUCCAGCGCCAUCAAAAUUGUCAAUGGUCACUUUGAAUGUUGAUGAUGGGAGAGCCUACUUUGUUUCCCUCAACAAAGCUGUUCAUUUCCAAUAAAAAGUUUGCAUUUUUCCCUGAUGAUGGAGUAUCCGAGGUUUUUCCAUAGCUCGACUAAUCUCCAUCAGGUGUAAUAGUCGUCUUAUCAAAUUCACCAGAUGCUUAUUGGAGCAAAAAGAUCUAAGCUCUGGAGGUGGCUCGAGAAAAAGCAUGAGUGCUAUGAUUUGAAAGUCCUAGUCCGGUUGAGCGAAGACGGCAUGUAUGAAGCAAUCCACUUGUUGAAGAUGGUCGAUCGUAUAGAUUGGCAUCAGGACAGAAAAUUAACGAAUUUCGAGAUGAUAUUUGCAGCCAAGAGAAUCUCAGUAUGUGAAAACAAUGACAAAUAUAUAGUUGAGUAAAAAAUAAAAAAUGACUGCUUGCGAGUUUUGUUUUAGGCAUGCGUCAACAAUUGGUUCAGCCAAUGAUCUUCUUGCUAAAUGAAGUGAAAGUGCCUGAAAGACAAAGUAUAAACUGGAACUGCUCCAGAUGAAGUGGCUCUAUGCCCACCAUGGAGCUUCACCAGUUCUGAAGUCAGUCUCAACCCAUGGGACAAAAACUACCUUUCCAUCAUCAAUAUCUGCAUGAGCCAAGGCCAGUGACUGUUCCAAAACAAGAUCGAAAACAUCAAUUUUGUCAAUACAGGGAUUAAGAGUGUGAUGAAGGAGCUAAAUGUUGGGAUUAGCAAUUUUUUUAGGGGUUUUACCAGAGGAGCCGGUCCUCGAACAACCCUCCCUUGGUUGUUAUACUGAGAACCGUGGCAAGGACAGAUGAACUUCUUCUCUGCAGUAUUCCAUGGCACGACACAACCGAGAUGCGUGCACACCGCGUUGAUGCCGUAUGUCGCCAGUGUUUUGUCACUUUCCACGACGAGGUAGGUCGGGUCUCCCUGUAAUAGGAAGUGUUUCAAGUUUGGAUGAAACGGGCAGUGUGUAGAAGGCGACUAUGGAAAUGAAAACAAACUUGAUUGCAACUUGAGACUAAAUGACUUGUGAAUUUCGCAAAGAUGGACCAGUUUGUGCAGCACAACGUAAUGUAUUUUCAUGAACAGCCUAUGUAACUCAAAGAUGCUUUUCGAUUUUAAUGGAAAACCCUGCUGAUCCAGGACACGUGAUACACAUCCGACAGAAAAAAUCUUCACCAAUGCCAAUGGAUGAUGAAAGUCUUGCAGAAGAAGAGCUUUUUUGUCGGCUGAAUGUAUUUUUUUCUUUCAGAUUGUGUUUACCAGGUAUUGCCAAAGAGCAAAGCCCUAGUAACUAAACAUUGUGAUCAUAUUUUUCGAAACAUUCGAAGAUUGGAAGCACCUUCAA